CCGUGGGUCAGACUCCAGAAGCAGCCCAACUGGAGGUGUAACAAACAACCCAAUCACGCCACCCCUCAUUCCAAUCAAUCCGUUGAUUCUGAAACUGCUGUGCAUAAUUGGAUUUGACCCGAUGGGGUGCCCUCCAAGAUCCGAAAGUCGCCUCAGGAGAGGAGUUUGCCAAUAAACCCGAAUCCGAUCCAUUAACAUCCCCAUCUCAUCUAUCACACUGUACCUCCAAUUAUUGUCCCUCGAAAUGGACUUGCUCCUGUCAACUCCAAACCCACUAACCCCUCUUCCCUCGGUAAGGGUGGCGGCAACGUCAUCGAAGGUCCGCAAACUUCUAUCGUCCUCAGCCCUGCUACAGUGACUUCCCAUAGGGUUAGAGGCAAUUGGUCACUGUCUCCGUCCCUCCCCAUGCUCGUCGCUUCCCCUUCAAUAGUCGUCCCCCUCCUGCUCCUAGCCUUAGCAUGGCAAUAGGGACCAUUCUUGUAGGCGUUGGGUUCCCAACAAGGAGCUCUUCCAAUACUCUGAUGUGGCUUGGUGGAGGAACUACUGAAGCUUCCAACCCUCUGAUAGCAGAAGCUUUGGCAAUGCUGGAAGAUGAUGGCAAGCUAAGGUCUGCUGGGUUCUGAGAGAGGUUGAAGGAGAGAAGACGGGCCGAAACAAGCUUUGUGCAGCAUUCUGGACUCAACAAAGUGAGACAUUUGGCUGCUUGAUUGCUUGUGCUUACAUGUAAGCAUGAUGUCUUCAAAGGAAGUGAUUACAAGAGAUUGUUUCCUCGACAAUUUAAGGAUGGGAAACAAAAAAUGGAGGCAGCCAAGGUCAUGUGCAGAAUAUGUACAGUAUUUGGCAUAAAUUUAUUUCUGAGUUUGUAAUGGAAAAUUUACUACAUAACAGCAUUUACCUUUCAUAUUGUUCACAA